rnacentral:rRNA from 1 species
CUAUACAUGCAGUCGAGCGGAAGAAGGGAGCUUGCUCCCGGAUGUUAGCGGCGGACGGGUGAGUAACACGUGGGUAACCUGCCUGUAAGACUGGGAUAACUCCGGGAAACCGGAGCUAAUACCGGAUAGUUCCUUGAACCGCAUGGUUCAAGGAUGAAAGACGGUUUCGGCUGUCACUUACAGAUGGACCCGCGGCGCAUUAGCUAGUUGGUGGGGUAAUGGCUCACCAAGGCGACGAUGCGUAGCCGACCUGAGAGGGUGAUCGGCCACACUGGGACUGAGACACGGCCCAGACUCCUACGGGAGGCAGCAGUAGGGAAUCUUCCGCAAUGGACGAAAGUCUGACGGAGCAACGCCGCGUGAGUGAUGAAGGUUUUCGGAUCGUAAAGCUCUGUUGUUAGGGAAGAACAAGUGCGAGAGUAACUGCUCGCACCUUGACGGUACCUAACCAGAAAGCCACGGCUAACUACGUGCCAGCAGCCGCGGUAAUACGUAGGUGGCAAGCGUUGUCCGGAAUUAUUGGGCGUAAAGGGCUCACAGG